CCAGGACAGGCAAGCCCCAAGUUUGCCCAUUGUGGGCAGAAGGAUCCUCCUCGGAUCGUCACCGGUUUGCUGUUGUGCAAGGUCAUUGUUGAUGAAGAUUCCUAUCAUGAAUCCAUCGCACAAGCAACAUAAAGGCGUACAAAAAGCUCACAGGAGUUCUUCCAAAGGAUGGACGGGUCGUCUCCUGUGCCAGAGUUGCAUUCCUUCUCUGCUUUCCUGGAGACGCAACAGCCAACAUGGAGCCACACUGAGACUGCCAUGUGUUGCUGCGAAAGACAGCAUAACGCCCUCCCCUGUGGCCCCACGCUGAAUGCUCACAAAGCACCCACUCCUCUUGCUCCGCUUCUGGCCGCUCCGGUGUCCUUUGCUUUGGCCGACGUCUCCUCUGGCUGCAGCUCUAGGGACACAUCCUCAUUGCAGUUCUGGUCUCUUGUCUGCUCUAGGUCUCGUUUAGUGCCUAAGAGAGGCACAUGAGAAUGGAAAUGUUUACUUGGUGUGCAUGUGUGAUAGUGAGCUUGGCACAUCACACGUUCACAUGUGGGUCACUGCUGCCACAAGAACUACAGGGUUAUCUUUGCAGCAUCUGCCCUGGCAUGUGAAGAAGCUCCCUUUCAGGGGCCAGAACUGAGGCACUCUAAGGACAGAUAAACAACUUGCCCCGAAUCAGUGAUGUGUGAUCCCACUUUUGCCAAAGCCUAGAAAAUGACUGGGUUCACAACCACCUUUGCAGUUGUGCUGGCUUUCAUGAUAAGGACAGUGGAGGAGAACAUAACUACUGUGGACAGCUGAGCACUUGUCAGCUGCACUUUAAGAGAGCCUUGCCAAGCCCACAGCAUGUCCAUAUUUCCCCUCUAAGCCCCUUUCUCUCCUCACAACUGUGACUGCUGUUAGCUGCACUUUGCAGUGAAGAACAGAGACUUUAUAGGAAGCAACUUGGGGAGUCACUGGUACUAAAUAAUGACUUCAAUGCAACAGGCCCUUAUUUAAAAUUUGAUUGUAUGAUAUGUACCCAAAUAUUUAAACUGUUUUCAGCAGUAAUUAAACCCAAACAAAGCCAUAUGGAAAUUGAAUAA